rnacentral:lncRNA from 1 species
UUCACUGGCUCUGCGUCAUGAUGAGAUGUCGCGUCGUCUACUUCCAGUUGUCUUGGAGCCAGCGCAAAGCCUCUCCAACCUCUCCACAAGCCGCCUGGCCGUCGAUCUUAAGCGAGAGCUAUCCAAGCAGCGUGCAUUGCGAGCAUUCUGUCACAGCGCCGAGCAUGUCCGGUAUUCCAAUAACCACAGGUGAGCUGGUCAUUUCUGCAAAUC